UACUAAGCGGAGGAAAAGAAACUAACAAGGAUUUCCUUAGUAGCGGCGAGCGAACAGGAAUGAGCCCAGCACUGAAUCCCGCUGUUCUGCAGUCGGGAAAUGUAGUGUUUGGGAGGAUUCAAUUAUCCCGCGACGUCGAACCGCGUCCAAGUCCAUCUUGAAUGGGGCCACUUACCCAUAGAGGGUGCCAGGCCCGUAGUGACCGGUACGCGUCGAGGGAGAAUCUCUCCUUA
rnacentral:rRNA from 1 species